AUUGAACGCUGGCGGCAGGCCUAACACAUGCAAGUCGAACGAGUGGCGGACGGGUGAGUAAUGUCUGGGAAACUGCCCGAUGGAGGGGGAUAACUACUGGAAACGGUAGCUAAUACCACAUACCAUCGGAUGUGCCCAGAUGGGAUUAGCUAGUAGGUAGGGUAAUGGCCUACCUAGGCAACGAUACAUAGCCGACCUGAGAGGGUGAUCGGCCACACUGGGACUGAGACACGGCCCAGACUCCUACGGGAGGCAGCAGUGGGGAAUAUUGCACAAUGGGCGCAAGCCUGAUGCAGCCAUGCCGCGUGUAUGAAGAAGGCCUUCGGGUUGUAAAGUACUUUCAGCGAGGAGGCGUUACUCGCAGAAGAAGCACCGGCUAACUCCGUGCCAGCAGCCGCGGUAAUAC
rnacentral:rRNA from 1 species